rnacentral:rRNA from 1 species
AACGGCCAUACCAUGCUGAAUAUACCGGUUCUCGUUAGAUCACCGAAGUCAAGCAUCAUUGGGCGCGGUCUGUACUUGGGUGGGUGACCACCUGAGAACACCGCGUGCCGUU